UUCAGGACCAUCACGAGGUCUGCACUCAGGAUGGUGUGUACGCGGUGCUGCGCGGGCAGGAGGGGCUGGUCUCCCUUUUUCAUGUCACCUUGACAGACCUGAAGCUAAGUAUCCAAGGACGGCCCUCGACCUCGACCUCUGCUCUCCUGUCUUCUAUUUCCCCAGGGGCUAGGAUUCCAGUGUCACCACCACAUCUGUUUCUGCAGUGCUGGGGAUUGAAGCCAUGGCCUCAUUCCUUCUACACAACCCAACUGUGUCCUCUGGGGUGGUGGCUCCAGCCUGGGGUGGCUGUGGUCCAAGCCCUCUGCCCUCUCUUCUCUAUCAAGCCUCUCCCCUGACCCCCAGGCAUCAAGACUUACAGACUUCUCCACAGGCUCCCACUCUUUAUGAGAAGCGGGCCCUAGCCUAGCCUACAGGGCUUGAGGGAAGGGUGUAUCGUGGAAUCCAGAGAAUAGAGGCAAGGCUCAAGGCUUACAAGUAAGUAAAGGUAUAAAUCUCUAGACACCCCAAAAUCCUGCUCUGUCCUCCUGCCAGCUCUCUAGACUCCCGUCAUGGACAUUCUAGGAUCUUCUCCUGACUACAGGGAUCAGUCCGCUAGUUACUGUCUCAGGGUAAGCUUUCCCUCCUGGUGACCUCCACAGAGGACAUCGUGGCCCCUUACCGCGAUGGUGACCACAGUGCGGUCUGCGAAGGCUGUCAUCACCACCUUCUGGAGGAUGUUUUCCUGUCAGGUAGAGGUAGCAAGCAGCUGGUGGCUCAUCUAUUCCAUGGACGGGGUCUGGGAUGGUUCUGGGGAUGUGGGGCCCAGGUGGCCUGGCUCCCAUCUACACCUGCUCCUAGCUCUCUGCCCGUCUUCUCUCUGGCUCUACUCCCAGAGGAUUGAACAGGUGUCCAGUACUUGGUGGCUGGACCUGCCUUUGCCAUGUGGCCCUAGAUGUGAAGGCCAGCUUGAGGCUUAAGACCCCUCUGUGCCAACUACUCCCUAGCAUGCCACCCCAGGACCAACCGUAGCCAUGUCAAUGGAGGCAGUUGCUUCGUCCAUGAUGAAGAUGCUGGUCUUUCUCACGAAGGCCCGAGCCAGGCAGAACAGCUGCCUCUGACCUUGACUAAAAUUCUCCCCUCCUUCUGUGAUGAUGGCAUCUGGAAGCAGACAUGGGACAGGGCAGGCCUGAGUAAAUCCUGCCUGUGAGCAGAGUAGCCCCAUGGAGGGGGAUGUAUGUGCAGGGUA